GUAGGUGGCAAGCGUUGUCCGGAAUUAUUGGGCGUAAAGCGCGCGCAGGCGGUCCUUUAAGUCUGAUGUGAAAGCCCAGGCUCAACCGUGGAGGGGUCAUUGGAAACUGGGGGGACUUGAGUACAGAAGAGGAAAGCGGAAUUCCAAGUGUAGCGGUGAAAUGCGUAGAGAUUUGGAGGAACACCAGUGGCGAAGGCGGCUUUCUGGUCUGUAACUGACGCUGAGGCGCGAAAGCGUGGGGAGCAAACAGGAUUAGAUACCCUGGUAGUCCACGCCGUAAACGAUGAGUGCUAAGUGUUAGGGGGUUUCCCGCCCCCUUAGUGCUGCAGCUAACGCAUUAAGCACUCCGCCUGGGGAGUACGCCGCAAGGCUG
rnacentral:rRNA from 1 species